UGCUGAUAAUGUUGUGCUGCUGUUCAUACUGGUUUGGACUUUCACAGCUGUCUGUCAAGCAUUUGAUGAUGAUGUCAUUGUAAGCUGUGAUGAUGUGACUGGAUCUGUGGGGAAAGAAGUAAAUCUCACCUGCAGCGUCUCUCUGCAGCGCA